UACGAAGGGGGCUAGCGUUGUUCGGAAUUACUGGGCGUAAAGCGCGCGCAGGCGGCUUCUCAAGUCAGGGGUGAAAGCCCAGAGCUCAACUCUGGAACUGCCUUUGAAACUGUGGAGCUUGAGUACGGGAGAGGUGAGUGGAAUUCCCAGUGUAGAGGUGAAAUUCGUAGAUAUUGGGAAGAACACCAGUGGCGAAGGCGGCUCACUGGCCCGUUUCUGACGCUCAUGCGCGACAGCGUGGGGAUCAAACAGG
rnacentral:rRNA from 1 species